UACGAAGGGGGCUAGCGUUGCUCGGAAUUACUGGGCGUAAAGCGCACGUAGGCGGAUUGUUAAGUCGGGGGUGAAAUCCUGGAGCUCAACUCCAGAACUGCCUUCGAUACUGGCGAUCUCGAGUUCGGGAGAGGUGAGUGGAACUGCGAGUGUAGAGGUGAAAUUCGUAGAUAUUCGCAAGAACACCGGUGGCGAAAGCGGCUCACUGGACCUCUUCUGACGCUGAGGCACGAAAGCUAGGGUAGCAAACGGG
rnacentral:rRNA from 1 species